rnacentral:lncRNA from 1 species
GUGGGUUGUGUGCGUAUUUGCGGACAAACCUUGCAAACUAUACAUUUGAAAAGACCAAUUUCAACAUUCUGUCAUUCUUAAAAAUUAUGCAAUAAAAAUAUCUGAGAAUAUAUAUAUGCAUCCUCUAUAAGUAAAACUACUUCAGGCGCAUUAUGUAAAUUUUUAAACUAAAUUGACUAAAAGAGGUCACAAAAAUGUGCCGUUUUUCAUUCAAUCCUGCGUUUCUAUAAUUUGUAUUUAUACUAAAAAAAAAUUGGAAACGGCGUGCAUCAGACUUACAAAUUCAAUAAAAGAGACAGCUUAACAGUCAGUGAAAAA